CACUUAGCCUAGCCGCUAGCGUUAGCGGCUAGCGGAGUGAAAACGAAGCUCAGUGUUUUAAAUCCAGCUCAUGAUAAAUCAUGUCAACCGCUCAGUUCCACCGGCACCGUGUUUAAGCUCAGCUCAGUGGACAGUGAAUAGUUUGUGAACGCUUUUAAUCCAUUUUGUACACGUAAUUUAGCUCGUUCCUUAGCGCAGAAAUUCAAUGUGUAAUUGCCACCAAUAGGAGAAGGGAGGAAGUGACAUGGCUGCAGCGAGUGUUUUCGCAAGGGACCAAUGCGAGGUCUGCGUUUUUCAAAUUCAGUGACGUGGUAUCCGGUAACGCUCACAGCAGAUGGCCGGCGGUUCAUUCAAACAGAGACAGCGCUGCAGACCGUGCACAGCGUCAAGCCUUUUUGAAGCUGAAAACAUUGGACUUUUCGGAACCAGCCUUGCUGAAGAACGAUUAUAGCAGCACAGAAACGCAAGGCGAGAUAAGCAGGAUGACAAGUGCAGACACCGGCCAGAAGCUACUGUGUGACCGAAGAAACAGAGGUGAUGUCCUACAGCUGUGGAAUUGGCAAGGCGGUGACCGACUGCUCACGAUACUCUGCUAAGCUGGCUGACAAGUGUGCACGGUGGGCAAGACAGACAUGCGACUGAGUCAGCGCAGGCGUGAAGACGCGCGGACGAUCGGCACGGACGCCACAUGCGCAGCUGGAAGAACUGCCGACGGUCAGAGCUGAUGCCACCAAGAGCACAUUAUGCAUAAAUUCCUUCUGUAAUACUUUUGAAAUAUGUCUGUAACCUUUUAAAUCUACUACUU